rnacentral:rRNA from 1 species
GGUAGUCCACGCCGUAAACGAUGAGUGCUAAGUGUUAGAGGGUUUCCGCCCUUUAGUGCUGCAGCUAACGCAUUAAGCACUCCGCUGGGGAGUACGGUCGCAAGACUGAAACUCAAAGGAAUUGACGGGGCCCCGCACAAGCGGUGGAGCAUGUGGUUUAAUUCGAAGCAACGCGAAGACCCUUACCAGGUCUUGACAUCCCACUGACCGGUAUAGAGAUAUACCUUUCCCUUCGGGGACAGUGGUGACAGGUGGUGCAUGGUUGUCGUCAGCUCGUGUCGUGAGAUGUUGGGUUAAGUCCCGCAACGAGCGCAACCCUUGAUCUUAGUUGCCAGCAUUUAGUUGGGCACUCUAAGGUGACUGCCGGUGACAAACCGGAGGAAGGUGGGGAUGACGUCAAAUCAUCAUGCCCCUUAUGACCUGGGCUACACACGUGCUACAAUGGCGCAUACAAAGAGAAGCGACCUCGCGAGAGCAAGCGGACCUCAUAAAGUGCGUCGUAGUCCGGAUUGGAGUCUGCAACUCGACUCCAUGAAGUCGGAAUCGCUAGUAAUCGUAGAUCAGAAUGCUACGGUGAAUACGUUCCCGGGCCUUGUACACACCGCCCGUCACACCAUGGGAGUGGGUUGCAAAAGAAGUAGGUAGCUUAACCUUCGGGAGGGCGCUUACCACUUUGUGAUUCAUGAGCUGGGGUGAAGUCGUAACAAGGUAACC